GUGCACCAGGCGAGAAUACUUUACAAUGUGCGAAAGCACGAUAAGGGAACUCUGAGUGCCUCCUAAGGAGGCUGUUCAGGUGUCUAAAAGCACCUGAAGGAAGGGCUGGGUAAGACCGGUGCCAGCCGCCGCGGUAACACCGGCAGCCCAAGUGGUAGCCACGUUUAUUGGGUCUAAAGCGUCCGUAGCCGGCCGGGUAAGUUCCUUGGGAAAUUUGGCUGCUUAACAGUCAAGCUUUCAGGGAAUACUGCUCGGCUUGGGACCGGGAGAGGUCAGAGGUACUCCAGGGGUAGGGGUGAAAUCCAUUAAUCCUUGGGGGACCACCGGUAGCGAAGGCGUCUGACCAGACCGGGUCCGACGGUGAGGGACGAAGGCUAGGGGCGCGAACCGGAUUAGAUACCCCCGUA
rnacentral:rRNA from 1 species